CCCGGUGGUGGUGGACGGGCGGCAGCCGGUGCUCUCGGCCCGGGUGCUGAUGCGCGUGUCGCGCCUGGCGCCGUUCGACGCGCCGCACCGGAAC
rnacentral:tRNA from 1 species